GAAUGUCAUCUUCUGCACAUACUCGUCGGCGCACAUCUCAACAAAAGCUUCUCUCGCCGGAUUCGACCUGUAAAACACCUUCUGCAACACAUCCAGAACCUUAUAAGUCGGCCAGUAAGUUUUAUCCCAUUUCUCUAAGUACUUCCUCAGGUCUGAUUCCUCCACCAUUCUUUUCCCAUUUUCUGAUCCCUCGACGAUUGCCUCUGCGCACAUUCUCCCACUCUUCGCUGCGAAAUAUAUGCCCUCACCGGAGCAUUUCGUCACAUACCCAGCUGCAUCGCCGACAAGUGCCACUCUUCCCGCUAGCCGACGUGGACGAGGGUGUUCUGGGAUUGGAUGUGCUUCAACUCGGAUGAUCUUCCCUCCUAAUAUCUUAUCCUUUGCCCUAUUUCGUGUGGCUAUUUGAAAUUUCUUGAUAUCGGCCUUGUGAGUCACCGUGCCGGUGCCGACUGCAACAUGGUCGCAUUUCGGGAAAACCCACCCGUAAAAAUCCGGCGACACGUCGUCACCUACGUACAUCUCUGCAAGAUUCUCGUAGUACACCAUUUUGUCAUCUGGGAUUUUGAUUCUCUCCUGAAAUGCAAUGGCGUAAUCGUAAUCGCCGGCGUCAAUGGCCUUGGCAACGCGAGAAUUAGCUCCGUCGGCACCGAUCACAGCGUCGACCUCCAAUGUCAUCUUCUCCCCGACGCCUCCUUUCUUCCCGUCGUACGAAGUGUAAUGAAGGACAUACGGCGCAUUUUGUUCCUUCGGAAGUUCCAAU
rnacentral:misc_RNA from 1 species